CCUCUCUUAGCUCAGUUGGAAGAGCAUCAGACUGUAAAUCUGGGGGUCGCCUGUUCGAACCAGGCAGAGAGGA
rnacentral:tRNA from 1 species